CAAACCUCGGUCUGAGCCCAAAGCCUGUUGCAGAGUUUGCCUAUGGCUCAGUGGGUGAAGGAUCUGGUAUCGUCACUGCUGUGGCUCGGUUCGAUCCCUGGCCUGGGAACUUCUACAUGCCACAGGUACAUCCAAAAAUAAAUAAAAAUAAAUCUCCUCCUGUCUUCCACCAAGUGAAAUGUGAGUUUGGAAAGGGAAAAAUUCUCAACAGUGCAUCUCAGUUUCAGAGAAAUCAUGACAGCUCUGCCAGCUCAAGGCUCAAAGUCUUGAGUACCCAGCCCUUCAGUUUUAGGUAGGGCAUAGGUGUCAACCAGCAGGCUGAGUUGAUAACAAUCACUUUGUGACCCAACCACCCUCCCACACCCCCACCAAAUCAGCUAGAUAGAAUCUGGCAGGGCUGAUAAAUUGCUACCUUAGACAGGUGGAAGCAAGGGGGAAAUGCAGGCCAAAAGACAGCAAAAAAAGAAGCGUGCAAAAACGAAAGCAAAAAAACCUGAGACUGAACCCUAAUGCAUCUGGUGCAGGCUCUUGCAAAUUCCCAGCUGCAUGAGGACCAAAUUAGUUAAUAAGAAAUGAAUACAAAAAUGCCUGAGCUCAGUGGAGCUGUCCUGAGUUUCAUUUCCUGAGAAGGAGCUUCUAACAGUGAUCCAGGUAAUUUCAGGUUGCAGCUCGGCAGCACUCACCUCCUCCCUCUAGGAAUGUGACCUGUGAUGAGGAGACUUCUACUGCAUGGUCUCUUCCAACAUGCUCCUUUUUCCCUGGGGAUCCAGGAAAUUCUGGCCACCUGCAGUGUGCAAAGGCAGCUGGCCAGGCAAGGAAGCUGGCGCCAGGUCCCAGGGCCCCUCCCUGGAGGGAGCAAAGGCCUCUCGGGUUGCAGCUGCAGAAAGAGGGAGGAGAGAAGAGGGACAGGAUGGAGUGGAGAGCCUUGGAGGCAGUGGUUUGGACAUCAACUCGGUCCUGAGGUUGUCAAGUUUAAUCCUCAACUCCUGAAAGUUCCCAGAAGCAGACAUUCUUUUUUUUUUUUUUUUUUUUUGCAUUGUUCUGUUCCAGGAGCUACGAACUCAAGUGUCUACAGAACAUGUCAGAUAGCAUAAACAAGAGAAGUGGCCAAGGCUAAUAAAGAUCAUUCAGCUCUCUUGGUCUGGCUUUUGCUUUCUCACUUUUGACAGAGACAUGAAAGCAGAGGAAUAGUUCUUACUAUAAAAAUGCACACACAGUACAGUCAGUGAUGGGGGCAAGUGACACUCAUCCUUGGUUGGGGAGCAGUAGACUGUGGGUGGUGACUGUGGCACACCUCCUACCAGCCAGUUUGCUGUUUUGCAGAAAUCUGGCCCAGUGUGGCCAGAAAUUACCAUUUUUAAAGAGAAGCUGGAAAUCCAGAUUUGUAUGUGGUGUCUCCC
rnacentral:lncRNA from 9 species